rnacentral:rRNA from 1 species
GACGAACGCUGGCGGCGUGCUUAACACAUGCCAGUCGAACGGAAAGGCCCUGCUUUUGUGGGGUGCUCGAGUGGCGAACGGGUGAGUAACACGUGAGUAACCUGCCCUUGACUUUGGGAUAACUUCAGGAAACUGGGGCUAAUACCGGAUAGGAGCUCCUGCUGCAUGGUGUGGGUUGGAAAGUUUCGGCGGUUGGGGAUGGACUCGCGGCUUAUCAGCUUGUUGGUGGGGUAGUGGCUUACCAAGGCUUUGACGGGUAGCCGGCCUGAGAGGGUGACCGGCCAAAUUGGGACUGAGAUACGGACCAGACUGCUACGGGAGGCAGCAGUGGGGAAUAUUGCACAAGGGGCGGAAGCCUGAUGCAGCAACGCCGCGUGCGGGAUGACGGCCUUCGGGUUGUAAACCGCUGUCGCCUGUGACGAAGCGUGAGUGACGGUAAUGGGUAAAGAAGCACCGGCUAACUACGUG